CUCCAUUGCUAAUCUUUAGCGACAGAUAGUUCGUUGUCAUGCAUUAGCGACAGAUGAUUCAACACAACAUAUAUUUAUAGCGACAGAUCGUUUAACAGUCCAAUUUAAUGUACAAAAAAAAUAAAAUUUUUAGCACAUAUAAAAACAUUAUCGAAAUCUUAAUAUAGUGUCCACAAGUCAUGAAGAUACACAACCACAUACAUAUGAUAUCCAAAUUUGUCCUUACAUUACAUCCAGCAAAAGUGGACCACCAAAUGUAUUUGUCUUGCCAUACAUCACACAUCCAGCAAGGUCAAGCACCAAAAGAAUUACAGUAGUACUUUGUCUUGUCAUACAUCACACACAUCCAGCAAGGUCAAGCACAAAAGAAUUAGACACUAGUACUUUGUGUUUUUUAUUCUCAGGUUUGUGCACAGAUUCUCAUUUCUAGGUCUAAGAAGUCAAAGCCAAAAGGAAUGACUUGCCAAAAGGUAGAGCUCAUCCAUCAGCAGAAUAAUAUUCCUGAAACUCAAGUCAAAGGCUAGUUUGGAGCACUUCCUGAAAAACAGAACCAUGUAAUCAGCAACUAUAGACCUCAUUUGGUGCGACAAAUGUCUGUAACAUUCAGUGAAACGCAGUUUCGUGUACUUCUUGCAAUUAGGAAAUAAUUCUUGACUAUUGGCUUCUACCAGCUUCUGGAGGUCAACUAGUUCUUUAGGAAGCUCAACAGAACUAUCAUCUUCGAAAUCCCCUCUAUCAUCUAAAGCACAAGCUAGGUCUCUAAGCAAUUCAGAUAUGUCAUCCUCUUCACUAGACUCUUCCACAGGACCAGGACCAGCACCAUCAACAUUAUCGGUAUUCACAUAAGAGGAACUAGCUUCCCCAUGCAAGUUCCAAGUUGUGUACCCCUUUAGAAACCCAUCACAUAUCAAGUGCUCUCGUAUAUCACUCGAGUCUCUCCAAAAUGAAUUAACACACUUUCUGCAAGGGCAUAGUAUCUUGUCCCCUACCGCUGAAUUUCUAAAUGCAAAAGCUAGGAAACUGUUGAUCCCUUGCAAAUAUGCCUUUGUGUGCCUAGCAUCACUAUUGAUCCAUAUUUUAUCCAUAAGUAUUUGUGGGGACUGAGCAUGUACCUGCAGUACUUCGAUCUGUUGACUGCAAGCAAUGAGAAGAGAAUGACGUCGAUGUAGCAGAUCUACAACUCACUGGGGUUAGUGGGCCAGCUCCACAAUACUUUCACCUAGGGGGCUGAAAUGAAUGAGAAAGAACAAAUCAAUUAUGCCAGCUUCUGCAUGAUCUCUUGAAGUUAGACAUGCUGGAUGAUCUCAAAUAUAAGUGACACAAACAGAUUCAGAAAACAAGAAAAAUAAUUUAUUUCGUAGCUAGCAUCUGUGAUGGAAAAUAAGUGAAACAGAGAAUAAUCAGAAAGCAUGUGUGAUGCAGCCUCACAAUUGGUACCAUCACUAAUAAAUAGCUAGGAACAUAACCACUGCACAGAAUCACCAAUCGCCACCAUAAGAAAAUAAAGAAGCUUAUUUUUAGCUUUCAACACUUGCCAACUUAUGUACAGAUCAGCUCAGCAUCCUCUAAUAUAUCUCCCAACUUAUGUACAGAUAAUUAAGUUGUUUCAAAUUAUUGUUUCAGGCUAUGCAAAUAAAUUCAUGGCUAGUAAAAUUUAAAGCAGCUUUCCUUAAAAAGCAGAAGAUGGCUGUACCUAUCCUGCAAGUUAUAUGCCCAUUGCUUACAAAAAUAACUAAUGAAGAUGAUGUUUUCUAUUCUAUAUAAAUGGGCAGCAAGCAAUCAACCUUUUCCAUAAUUGUUUAGGUUGGAAGGUAAAUUUGGCAAGACAAUAAAUUAAUUCAUUGGUUCUUGCAGGAGAAGUCAUAUGACGCUCUUGCAGCAUUCUGCGAGGACAUGGGUGCAGAUAUCCUACCAUAUCUAGAGCCCCUGCAGAUUGGUUGCCUUUGUAGAGUAGUACUCGGAACUUGCAAGAGACGUGUGGCAUGUAUGUAGUAAUUCUGCAUAGCAUACUACUUGGCUUCUAACAGAAUUAAUCUGUACAGAAUCUGCUAUUAUGUUUUUCCCCUACAAUAAAGCAAGUUCCGAAACCCACAAAUCCAAGUCUUAAAAUAAAGAAAUUUCUUUAACCUAUCAAUUGUGCUACUCAAGAAAUUUUUACCUACAAUCUGAGCUCCAAACACAAUUAGGGUAGAUGGAUCAUUUUACAAAUUCCCAAAUACCAGAACAUUGAGUUGAGAUAAAUAAAAAGAAAAUGGCAUUGCAAUCUGAAGGCUUCAAGCUCGGCACCAAAAUAAGUUCCCUUUCUAUCAACUACCUCACUAGUCGAAACAAGCCGAAAUCCAGGCAAUUCAAACUCUAAGUUAAACAUGUUACCCAAUCUCACCAUUUCAGACGUCUAUACAAGUUUAUGGUUGUGACUUGAAUAAGAUAACAAAAAAAUGGAGUCUAUCAAAAUACCAGAACAUGUAGAGUUUUUUUUAGAGCAGAACAUGUAGAAUUGAGAUAUCACUCAGCAUUACACGAGUGACCAUAUGAUUAUCUUGACUCAUCAGAAAAAAGAAACGAAAGCCUAAAUUCUCAGAUAGCAAAUGGCUGUCAAUCCAAUUUACGCACAAGCCUCAAAUAAAGCAAAUCCAUUAACAUGACUCCUCUGCUAUUCAGGAAUUUUUCACCUACAAUCUGAGCUCCAACGCAUCUACGGGAAGGGAGCAACCCAAAAGAAAAGAUGCAGGGAAGGGAGGCACCUACCAAUGGAUCUGCAGCAGAAACUCAAAUCGAAGUCACUGAGAUGCCACACUGCGUGCUCCACCUUGGCUUGCUCCACGGGUGGUGGUUAGCAGCUGGAGGCACCGGGCCCUAGCUUCCUGGUGGACCAGCAGCCAGGUUCUACGGUGGCAGAUGGGCUGGUGGCUGCCUGCGCCGGUAGAGGGCGGGGCUGUGGCAGACCGGAGCAGUCCCCGAUGGCUGGAGCAGGAGGAGAUUUGGGGCACUGAAGCAGGAGGAGAUUUGGAGCACUGGAGAGCAGUGUUGUGUGUUUUGGGGCGGCUGAGCGGGCGAGGCGAGAGUUAGGGGCAGGGCGGGCUAGUUUUCAGGGGAGCUAGAGGGCGGCGGCGGGCAGGACGAAUUUUGGGUGGGUCGGCAGCGCGAUUUGGGAGAAGGGAGAGGCGCGCGGCGGCCGCUAGCGGUCAGGUUCGGCGCCGCGCUUUUUUGGAUUGGGAUUUGGGGGAAGGAGGGUCUAGGGUUUCUGUAGUCGUGGGCAGAGACCAAAGUUACCUGGGAGGGAAUUUGUGACCUGGAAGCGGGCGUGGGGUCCAUUUAUUUUUGCCGACAGAUGGAUUGACUAUAUAACUUGUUUUAGCGUCAGACAAUGUGAUUUUAAAUAUAAAUACCUAUAGGGACAGACAAUGAAUCGCUAAAUAACAAUUUAGCGUCAGAUAGUCUCUGCAUUAUUUUUAGGGACAGAUCCUCCAUCGGCAAAGAUAAUUUUUACCGUCAGAUGUCUGACGGUGAUUUAGUGUUGUGGUGUAGUGGACAGAUACGAUAGAUGCUCAAGGGAAUGGGGGCGAAAAGUAACCAGCAUAAUAUAGUUUCUUUUUCCUUUUUUGAUAAAAUGUGACCAGCUCGAUUGGGAGGUAGGAGUAGUAGUAGUAGUAAAAAGGAAAGAUCGAUCGGUGUGUGUGAAAACUGUGAAUGACAUGAAUAACCGGAAAUUGGUUGUGCCUGCGGUGGUGCUAUUCGCGCAUGUGCGUUGGGCAGUUCUCGUUUUCAGGCAGGCCACUGAUAGCUAGCUGCUGGCAUACGGACUGCAAGUAGGACAGGACUGUCGUGCUGGCCGAUCUACUAGACAGGCCCAGCGCCCUGACCAGAUCGAUCUCGCGCGACUACUCGCAGUAUAAUCACGUCUCGCAGUCUCGCACAGGUCCAUGACAACACAUGAGCGAACGAACCGAACCCGUCCGUCCGUCCAUCGCAUCACAAUAGACACUCCUCGGCGAUCCCGGCCGGCGUUGCUGGCCGGUCGGAGGGUGCGCGACCGGCCGGUCGGUCGUGGCCGCCGCAUGCAUGCGAUGCAUUGAUGCGCGCCCGCACGGCAGCAAUCAGCAUCGUCGUCUAUAUACAGGUCUCCAUCGAACCAACCAACGACGGACGGACGACGAGAGGAGGCCACCAGCAGCGCGCGGCGACCCACGUACUGUACCCACUUGCAUUGCCCUGGCCACGUACGGCGCCAUGGCAUCUCCAUUUAUCGCCGGCCAGCGCGGCGUCGUACUACGGCAGGGACGCUGGACGGGAUGGGGCCACGGCAGAUGGAGGCCGGGGCAACGCCGUACGCGGCCGCAUUUACGGCCGCUCAUGGGCUUCUCAUGUUCCGUUCUGCGGGCGCGGGCCAGCCGAUCCGGCGGAUGGGAUCAGUGGAUCACAUCAAUCAAAUCGCCCGCCCGCCCGCCUGACGCAUGGGAACGUGCGUGGCCUGGAGCCUGGAGCCUGAGCCUGACCCGCGCCCGCCUCUCCUCCCGUGUGCAGCUGCAUGCAUCGCAGGGCCGGCCGUACGUACCCAGGCCUGUCUGCCGGUGCCGGCCAUCAUUGUGUCGGAGUUGCCGUGAUACACCGGCAGCUGCAAACACCACUAGCGCCAUGGCCAAUUUGGCCAUGCAUGCAUGUGCAUCGCGCUGUCCUGUACGUCCACUCCACGGGUCGUAUUAUUCCCGCCGGUCGCCCCGCCCAGGGUCCGUCCGUCCGCCCGCCCGCCCCCGCUCCGUCGUCGUCGUCGUCGCCUGCUGUUCACCGCGAGCGAUGCAUGUCAUGUGGAGCUUCACGCGAAUCUGACGACCUGUUCGUUUCCGGCUACAGUCGUACGUGUCGUCUCACGUACACCGGCCGGACCCCGGGCUGGGGACUACCGUCCCCGGUCACAGCGUCAGGUUUGUUUUGGUAGCAUGCGAUGCGAGCGCAUGGCCGCCGCCGUGCAAACGCAUGUGAUCCGUUUACAUGGCAGUUUCCCCAUCUCCUGAAUGCAUGCGGUGGUGGGUGCCGGAUGAUAUGCUACAGCUAGCUAAUACACCACAGUCCAGUCCACAGGACACGAUCCACGUACACCAUCACAUGUAGUACCUAUGUAGUACAGUAGCUUUCUUUAGCUUGCCUCAAAACCCUUCUUUUUUCCUCAAGAAAGCGCGAAGAGAGGAUCUGGUUCUUCACAACCUAACAAGCUAGCUAGGUGUUGCAUAUGUCGUCUCAAAAGAAAAUAUGUGCUUUUUUUGUUUGAUUGCGUCGCAUUUGUAGAGUAUAAAUAGCUUCACCUUUGUAUAGUAGUGCUUCAUUUUAAAUAUGACACUUGAUAAUCUUGAUAUAUCGUUUUGAGUAGGAGCUAGGUUAGAGCAUCUUCACUACUUAUAUUUGGACCCAUAUCUAUUUCUCCAAACACAUGGGGCCUCAACUAGUUCUAUUUUAUAUAGUACCAAAUACUACAAAAUGCCACUUUUUUAUACACGACAUAGAAGCACAUGUAAACCAAGGUUGACGAUCGAGUGUUGAGUGCGUGAAUAAAGACAUACAUAGUGCGUGUGUUUUCAUCAUGUCGAAUGAAUUAAAUUUUGUUGCUUGUAUCCUUUAUAUAUCGUCCAUAUGUUACUAACAUGCUAGAGUGAGAGUUUGACCUUAUUUUUUUUGUUCUCUAGCUGAACAACUUCUAUCAUUACAAACUAGUAAUGAGUCUAGCUAUAUCACUUAUCUCAACGGUAAUGAAAUUGUAGUACCUAUGUAUAGUAGCUUUCUUUGGCUUGCCUCAAACCUUCUUUUUCCUCAAGAAAGCGCGAGGGGAGGAUCUGGUUCUUCACAACCUAACAAGCUAGGUGUUGCAUGCAUAUAUCCUCCCAAAAGAAAACAUGUGCAUUUUGUUUGAUUGCGUCGUGUUUGUAAAGUAUAAAUAGCUUCCCUUUGUAUAGUAACGCUUCAUUUUAAAUAUGACACUUGAUGAUCUUGAUAUAUCGUUUCAACUAGGAGUUAGAGCAUCUUGACUACUUAUAUUUGAACCCAUAUGUAUUUCUCCAAACACAUGGGGUCCUCUCAACUAGUUCUAUUUUAUAUACUACCAAAUACUACAAAAUGCCACUUUUUUAUACACAACAUAGAAGCACAUGUAAACCAAGGUUGAUGAUCGAGUGUUGAGUGCGUGAAUAAAGAGUGCAUACAUAGUGCGCGUAUUUUCUUCCAAGCACCCAUCAUGUCGAGUUUGGCCUUAUUUUUUUGUAAGAACGAAACAUGGUUGGCUAGCUGAACAAUUUCUAUCAUUACAAACUAGUAAUGGGUGAUAUCACUUAUCUCAACGGUAAUGAAAUUGUAACAUGUCGCUAUUAUGGACUGUUGAUCUUUAGAAAUCAAAAUCAUUACAUAACACUUAUAGAUCAAGAAGCCACAAAGUUACAAAUUCAUAUGUGUAGAAAUCCAUAUAAUAUGAUGGAUAUCGCAAUUAAUAACAUAUAUGUGGAUCAUUCGGCAAGCAAAUUAAUACAACAUAGGAAGGAAAACAAAAAAAAUUAUGCAUAAAAAAUUAGAUAAAACAGAACUAUGCUCUUUGCGAGACAGAGCAUUUUAUAGUAGUGUGCUAAGGUUGAUGGAUGAGGGAGACUAGUUGUGUAGAGAAUGAUUAUUAUUUUGGUCGUCAAUUCCAUGGACAAAGGAUCAAGCGAUGCGAAGCAUUCACCAAUUUCAAAUUUUGAAAAAAACUUAUCAUUUCAAGUAGCGAAUAUUCUAAAUAGAAAUGGAAUACGAACGCGUACACUUAUGAUCACCAUUUUCACAACCUAGAUAGGUAAAUUUUGUACCUAUUUUUUUCUUCAAGUUGUGAAUACGAUCUUAUCUCGUUUACCUGAAUCAUAACACUUUGGUUUUAGUAGCAAGUUGAGAAGGGGAAAGAGGUUUCAUAUAAUAUAAAGGGAAGUCAAAUCCUAGUUGUCCUCACAUCACUAGCAACUUUUUUCUACCAAUCAUAUCAAAAUUGGGGCAAAGGAAUGAAAAAAACAAUAACAACACGAAGGACUCAUGUUACCCAAAGUGGAAAUGGUACUCGCAUAUAUACGUUCAACUAGCAAAUCAAGCAAAACUACAAGAUAGCAAGGGGAAAAAGAAACUCGUGUGUUUAGAAAAUGGGUUGGGGUACUCACAUAGAUAAGGAUCGCUGGUUGACAAUAAAAGCAGUAGUAGAUAGUGAGUAGAACAAAAAAAUUGGUGCAUUUAUAAAUCUAGUUGGGAUAAUCACAUAUUUUGGAAGAAACACAUUGAGACAUAUUUGAUUGAUCCACACAAUAAUACAAGAUCUUAUUAUUAACCUGUAGUAUGGCAUAGCACUAUAUAUAAGUAAAAAAUGAGUCUUUAUAAAUAGAUCUACGUAUUCUCUAUAGUGGAGCAAAAUAUCUACACAAACUCACAUUGUAGCUGUCGGGCCAGGCUAAAGCCUGUAAAGUACAGUAUGUUCUUUGCGAUAACCACUUGCGCACUCAUCAAUGUUGUGAAUAGCAUGGCGUGUAUAAAGUGUUUGUUGCUCAUUCCAUGCCGCAAGCAUGCAAGCAAAGCCCCUCAUCCAUGGCGGCCGACUGGCGACUCCUAGUAGAGGAGAUGAAUAAAGGGCCCGGCCCCGGGCUCCUCCAUGAACUAGAUGACGUACCUCUCAUCAUCAACCAUCAUCCGCAGAGCAAAACUACAUGACUAGCGCCCCAGUAAAAGUUAUAACAGCGACAGCUAGGGCAGGACAGACAAAGGGAGUACUCCAUGUGGAAGCCGAUAAGAGAGAGAGAGAGAGAGAGAGAGAGGAGGUGAUGGCCAUGGCUGGCGGGUUGCCGCCGGGAUGUCCCCCACACACUGGCCACUGCAUCUCGACUCCUCCUCUUGGCAUCUGCCACAAAGAGUUAGCGCUACAUCAGCCAGCCAGACAGGCACUGUCCGUUGCAGGCAGGCAGGCAGGCUACGGCCUGAGGUAAAAUGGUUAAAAAGCUGGGGGUAAUGUACUAUGCCGCCGGUGGCCACAUGUGUACUGCGCUAAUGACACGCAGCAGGAGUCGCCAGAUCCUGUACUAAUGACACACAAAGAGACACAAAACCUUUUCUUUGUGUCAUUCUUGUCAUGCCCAGUGAUACUGUGAUAGAUGGAUUGGAUGGAGUAGAUCAUGGACAAUCUUUUAAGCCUAGUUAGUCUAUGAUUAGACAAUUUUUAUCAAAUACAAACGAAAUUGAUCUAGUAUCAUUUUUUUUAAAAAAAUGGAACUAAACAAGGCCGGCUAGCAAUGCAAAGACCACUACUCGUCAGCCCUGGCAAAUCAGCUAGCUAAGUUCUUGGGCCGAUUGACAAAAGCGACGUGGCAAUUAACUUGGCUACCUCUUUGCAUUGGCUCAAGAAUAAAAUUCGAUUUCUAUACUGACAAAACAUAACGUAGUGGCUUAUUUGGGUAAUAUUCUGCUAUAACCCUUUUCAUCUUUUUUUUUCUCAUGCAUGGCCUUUGUUGACAAAGAAAAAAAAGGAAACGCUACAUGUUAGGGUGCUAGAAAAAAUUGCCACGUUAUCAAAGACCCCAUAAUUGAAGCUUUCAAUGACAGAUGGAGUAAAUUGAUUUUUGGUCUUCGUCCAAAGUUGGUUCACACGCCUAGCAAAGGGUUGUGCGCAGUGACCAAGGAGACAUUAAUUUGGCCAGUGAAAGGAGUUGUAUGCAGAUGGUUGGAUUAAUUAGACCAGUGGGAGGAGCCGCAUAUGCUUGAAAAAAAAGGUAAAAAUAGUGGUCCCUAGUUUAGAUGACUUUAAUUUUUAAGAAUUUUUUUUAAGAUGACUCCGAUAAAUAAAUCGAGAGAUUACAUUGUAUUCUGCUGCCUCUUGCUGUAUGUGAAAGGGUUCACUUGCUUUGAGAGAAAAUUUUAGAAUCCUAAAUGUGUGCGGAGGGAGUAUUAUAUUAUUUAAAAGUCACAACAUCUAAGAGAUUACCAUAACUGAAGAGUGUCCUCUAGCAAUAAUAACAUUGAGUAGUGCAAUACCCCAUUAACAAGCACCUACAUUGCAUGAAUGAUGUAUUGUAGCAAAUUUACCCUUGCUGAAAUCCAGCCAUCCAGGGCUAGCUCCCGCACUCGGGCGAGAAUGGUUCUUUAUCGUCCUUGGAAUGUGGAUCUGAAAUUCUUGGGGGUUUGUUGCCACAUUCCUGAAAGAGAGAACUCGUUGUCUUUGGCUGGCGAGAUCGAUCGGCGAACGAAGCUACCUACACGACUAUGAUUGAUAGUACUAUCCUGCUGCUCUCUUGCUUUCGGCCUUCCGAUCCGCAGUUGGAUUUGAGCUAGUAGCUCUCUUGCUUCGGCCUGGCAACUACGGUAUGUUCACAACCAGAUUUUUCAAUUUCUCCUAGUAACGUGGGAUUCUCCUAGUGUUUUAGCAUUUAAAAUUUAGUAUAAACUUUUUCUAGUAAAUGCCUCCUAGUGAGGAUUUCCUAGUGUUUGACUAACUAAAAACACUAGAAAAAUUCCACCAAUUUUGGUAGUGGUUGGUCCAUGAUUGAUGACCGAGCGAUGAUCCAACAUAGCAGCAUCGAUCGGCAUGCAUACCGCAGCUAGGCGCAGGAUACUGCAUGCAUGCAGGCAUGCUGCGCCAACGAAAGCCGAGCCGAAUCAUGUCGCAUGGCGCUCGUCACGAGCUACAGAGCUAGGGUACUUUUUUUUUAAUAUUCGAUAAGAUGAGGUGAUUUAUUUGUUUUUUUUAAGAAACUAAAAGACCUUAGUCCAAGGUAGUACUAGGGUCUGUUUAGUUCGUAUCUUGAAAAGUUGAGGAAUUUUAUAGUGCUUGGAAAUAAUGAGAACCAUCCAUUUAGUUAAAUCAGAUGGUUAAGAAAUAGAAAGAACCUACUCAGAGGAACUUAAGCUGUGGGCCGGAACUAAAAUCUAGUUGGCUCGGAACUGACUUUAGAUAAAUUGUGGAGGUUAGAAUGGUACUUUUGCGUGGAUCUACUGGCCAUGGAUCGAAAAAGCUGUCUUCCUUAAGGCAAAUGCCGGCCAUGUCGGACUGCACUGACUCGCCACCUACAAGCUUACGCGCGGACGCAAGCACUGGCUGUUGACCGCUACCUCCGUCGGUUUAGCCAUAGGCGGGCCAGAGCUUAGUAAGAGAGGCAUGGUGGCACCAUUGGGUCUCGACAUGGCCGUGGCUACGGUGGCAGUGGUGAUGGGACGCGGCCAUGUGCGAGGAAGGCGCAACACGCCGGCUCAGACGAGCACGAGACGGACAUAGGUAACACAACUGCUUUCUAGGUUACACAAGGAGUACAAAGUUCAAAAAAAAAUUGAUCUGUUCAUUCGUUGAUUUAUUACACUUGGCCGCAGAUGUUUGAAUCGUGGAGGUCAAAUAAGGCCUUGUUUAGUUCCCAAAAAAUUUUGCAAAAUUUUUCAGAUUCUUCGUCACAUCAAAUCUUUAGACGCAUGCAUGGAGUAUUAAAUAUAAACGAAAAUAGAAACUAAUUGCAUAGUUUGGUCGGAAUUGAUGAGAUGAAUCUUUUGAGCCUAGUUAGUCCAUUAUUGGACAAUAUUUAUCACAAACAAACAAAAAUGCUGCAGUACCUGUUUUGCAAAAUUUUUUGGAACUAAACAAGGCCUAAGUGCAGGCCGGUGACAGAUGGGAAGCAACAGCUAGCAGAUCGGUGAUGGGAGGAGGAAGGAAGGCUACCGAGCCCCACCCAACAGGCGGAUGACCUGGAGACUACCAAGCCCAAGCAGAUGGUUGGUGCAGAGCUCGUGAAGGUGGCCGACGGUGAUCCCAUAUGGUGGCCCAUACAAACGGUCGGUGGUGAGCUCCUCCAAAUUGCCGGUGGUGAUCCCCCAACAGUCAGGCGCUGGCACCGAUGAGCCUUUGAGGCGGCAGCGAGCCCUUCUCCAUAUCGAUGCGGCUUUCAAUUCAUCCCAGAGAGAGAGAAAGAAGACGUGGGGGCAACUUAGAAUACACUAGAAUGAUCCAAUUACCCCUAAUUACUUUUAACUAACGAAAAAACUCCACACGAGGAACCACAGGUUCUUCCCAAGCACCGUAACAAACCUCUGAAAAGUUUUGUAUACUCCCUCUAUACCCGAAUUAGUUGACGUUUAGGAUAAGAUUGUGGUAACCAAGGAGUAAUUAACUAAGGGUUAGUUUUCCUACUUUGCCCUUAUUAAAUAGCACUGCGGGUGUUUACUUUACAACAAUUUAGCGUAGCACAGUUGGUGAGUCCUUCGCAGCCUGAGGCUAGUGGCCGCGGUUCGACUCCCCAGUGCGCAAUUUUUUUUGCUGGAGCGCAGCCUGAUAGGCCCGUGCGUGAGGCUGCCACUCAUCCACGCGCAUGAAGGAAGCAAAGGCGUGCGGGCCAAGGAGGCAUUCAAUGCCAAUGCUCAGUUUUGUCAGGGACAUUCACGUCAAGUUUUCUCUUCUACAGUGCAGAACACGUCAGCUUUUGAGAAAAUGGUAAAGUCGUCCAAAACGUCAACUAUUUGAGGUAUGGAGGGAGUACUAUAGUAUAUAAUUAAUUCGUUUGAUUGAUAGUCAGGGCACUUAUAAUGUAAACUUUAUUAUAUAGUCUAAAGUUAUUUAUUACUUCGAACAAUGUGGACUUAGAGUCUAAAUAAAACUUGAAGUCUUAUUUUUUCUACAUUUUUCUUCAAUAAAUAUGUUGGCACAUCAGUAAAAUACCAUAAAUAUAUAUAAUUAAUUGUCUUAUACUCUGUGAUAGAGUUUUACAUUGUGAAUGUCGUCGUGGCAGAGAACUAGUAGUGUAGUGUGGGUCGACCAGGCGCUCGCGUCGUUCGAUGGAUCUCCCUCCAUUUGUGUUCGACGGCGCCACCGUCCGUCCGCGGUCCGUCUCAUGCGCAGGCGGCAGGCCUAGGGCAUGUGUAGCGUGGUAGCGAAGCGGGUGUCACUGCACUCACCCGCCGCUGCGCGCGCCCUUUUCUUUGACGCGCAUGCAUGAAGGCAGAAGCAGCAAGCGCACACGCAUCUCCAGAUGUUUUAUCAAAGUUUCAUGAAUAUUAAAUUUGAUAAUAUGUAUAUUAAUGAUAAUAAAAUGAUAAGAAUUUUAUUGAAUAAACAGAGUUUUAUAAAGAUAAAAACUUUUUUAUAUUAUUUUCAAAAUAUAGAUACUUUAAAAAUUGAGUUAUGAAAUCUCCACUAAAUAUGAUCUUAGUACCCUGACUAGAUAAGCAGCCGGCUAGCUAAACGCCAAUGAUCAGCUAGCGUUCAAAGCGCGCGCCAUGGCCGGCGGCCCACACAGAUGAUACACCACCAGGCCGGCCGGGCCCCGGGCAUACACGGGUGACGCCGUGACGGUGGCAUGCAUGCAUGCGCGUUACAGGUCCGUGUUGCAUGCAUUGCAAGAGCAACCACAAUGUAUAUCGACCAAGUAGUCCAUAUACAUAGGACCCACAUAACUAGUCCAUAGCUAUUGUUUUCUUCUCACAAUGUAUAUGGACUAAGUAGUCUAUAAGAUGGGACCCAAAGAGAAUAAAAAAUUAUUUAUCUUCAUUCCACCAGCCACUACAAGGAGAGAGAGAUGGAAAGAAGUAAGUAAAUAAAAUUUUUUAUUCUCUAUGGAUAGUCCAUAAGCUUAUGGAUACCUUUUACUAUGGACUACUCUAUGGACUGGUCUCACACUGUUUCAGCUAGCUGAUACAAAUUAUUAUAAUGCCUAUGGACUACUUUUGAGCAACAUUGUGGUUGCUCUGCAAUAGCUCAUCGCUGAUGCCGGCCUGGCCUGGUAACUAGCGGCGGCCGGCGGCAGCUGCUACGCUAAGCGCUGCGAUCCGCAGGCGCCAUCGACGCGACAACACCCAACACUCCAAGUGCAAACGACAAGGCAACGUAAGAGGUGGUCCCUCCGAUCCGUUUGAAAUCAAAAGAAUGUAAUUAUUAUGGGAGACGUGUCGGUUAAAUCAAAUUUAUAAUAAUAAUAUUAUUAUUAUUAGUAUUUAUGUCUCCACAUAAAUUUGUUAUGAAAAAAUAUAUAUACUAGUGUGGCAGAACCACCCUAAUUAUAUGGCCCACAUGCACUUGACAUUGUCCUUAAGACCUCUGACUACUGCACAUGAGAGUCAUAUAACUUGGAUAGUCUGUCGGGUGCCCUCGGAGGACCCCGAAUCAUCCACAUUUUAACUCGUACAGGAUCAACAUGGAGUUACCACAACAUUACAACAUUUGUUACAAAAAUAACUUACAUCAGAGUGCGGAAGAUUUAUAACUUAAUUUACAACAUAUGAUGAAAUACAAACUUAACUAAAUUUCUAAAAGGUGUAUAGAGUAGCGGAAGCAUCUUAGGUGAAGCUUCUAAGGUAGAAGAGGUGGAUAAAUCAUGUCGCGCCCACCGACAUGACCUCCAUUAGCAGACUAAGUCAGCACCUGCAACAGGGGUUAUAAAACCCUGAGUACAAAAGUACUCAACAAGACUUAACCGACUAGAAAAGAGAUGAAGACUCAGGUAUGCAGGCUAUAGGGAUUCAAGGUAAAGCUUUAUCAAGAUAAAGCAUUUCUUUUGCAUAAAAGCUUACUAAGAUUAAACCUACUUUCAAGUUUUAACUCAAGGUUAUCAUUUAUGACUAACCAAAACUAUUAUCAAACUUGCAUAAGCAUACCACAUCUUUCUUAUACCAAAGAUUCACUUGUUACUACGAUGAUGGUGUGAGGAUUGAGGCUCCAUAUCCGAGGAAACACGGCGAUUCGAAUCGAUUAAACCCAGCUGGGGAUUCAGUACCACACGACAUAUGUAGAACUUAAUCUUGCAUAUGUCAACCUUUUCUAUAGAUCCUCCCAUACAAGAACGGGUCCAGCGUCACCCGAGAGUACAGUACACCACCAUCCUACAGCCAAUCUAGAUGUUUCCCGGUCAUCUCAGAUCCGUAAGGUGGGUACACGCUACUCUCGCCAUCUUUCCACUCCCAGUACGCGGUUAGCCGUUCUCAAGUAUCGGAAUAGCUAUAGGUAAGGCUUACCGCCGCAUGUGGGCUGUACUCAAAGGUCUCAAUCACAACAGGCCAAUCAACGGUACGGUCCUUAAUCGACACAGUUGGAGACACUACUUUAAGACUCCAUUCUUAAAGCAAGUCCACCGACCGGUCUCAAAUUGAACAUCAUUAACUAUAAGAGUAUUCCACAACGACCCUUCAAACGUUCUCAUUUGAAAACUUAUCUAAUAAGCAGGGCUAAGCAUACUAAGCAUUUUCAUAAAGCAGGUAUCAAGGUUAAUAUGGAAAUCAUCAAGGUAGAUAAUGCAGCAAAUAGGAUUCACUCAACUCCUAUUCACCUAAUGCAUCAUAUUAACUCAAGUGAUAUAAAUAACUUUAUGAAAAUACAAGGAUAGGGUUUAAUGUCCGGGGCUUGCCUUGACCGGAAGGGAAGUCCGACAACUCAGCAAAACCAGAUGGAUCCACAAACUCGGAAGCAACCCACUGAGGAUCAGAUUCCUCCGGAGCGUAGUCUACACGUAGAAGUGCAUAUGCAUGAUUAAUGAGAUGCUCAUGAUAUGAUAAAGACAGGUUACAUGUUCUUGGAUGAUAACAACAAUCAUAACUACCUCGAGUACAACUUACCUUCACGGUAUAGAGACAAACUAACUUAGCUAUCAAAACAUAAAUUACUACUAAGCAAAUUUUAUCAUCUUCAUUAAGCAAUGUUGUGUAGUUAUUAAGCAACAAAGAUCAUUUACAUGAAAGAAUCCUUAACCAGGGAGCAUGUUAUGCUAAGUGACCACUGGUUGUCAAACAAUCUAAAAUAUCACCCAAAUCCUAAAGGGAUUAAUUAUUUCUAUUUCUUUUAUAAGCAUUUAAAUAGCUUUAUUAAGAAACAGAGCAUACUUAAUCAAAAAUAACUGAAAAUAUUUCUGAAGCUAGGUAAUAUUAACACAAGUUCACAUAUUAAAUUUCAUGCCAUUUGAAUAAGUAUAGCAGUUUCCAUGAAAAAGAUAAAUUUCCAUCACAAGGAAGCAUGUAACAGCAAGAUAAAUAAGAAACUCGACAUUUUCUACAAACACAUAGCUAAAUUAUGUAUCUAUAUGAUAUAACAAUCUCAUAUAAAGGCAGAGGAACCAUAUUUUACAUUUAUUAAUUUUUAGUUUAAUUGUAAACUAUUUAAUAAGCACUAAACAAGAUAAAUUAAUAACUUAAUCAUAUUUCAUCCAAUGAAUCUAAAAACUUAACCACAGCACACACACAUAAUCAUUAGCCUACCAUAAAAGUUUCAUCUUAAAAUAAGCUAUACAGCAAUAGAUAUGAAUUUCUUCCCUUUAAGCAUAAUUAAAAGACAUAAAUCAUAACUAAUUAUUUUACUACAAAACAUGGUCAGUUUCAUAUUUUUAAUAAACACUAGACAUCUCAAGGAGCACAACAAAAUUUGGUUCACCAAAAUUGGAGUUACCAAACUCCAGAUAUGAAUUUUCAAAGAUCUAACAAAACAUCUACAAACAGGUCCUGAUGGCACUAUUCACCUGAGUCACGAACUUCGCAGUUAGAUCCUUGCCUUGUGUCGAAUUCCAACGCGAAGUCCCUGGCGCGAAAUGGAAACAGAGGAGGCGCGCGGGAAAGCCGGAUUUCCGGCCGGCGACCGUCUGUUGGCGACAAGGGAGAGGUACUAGAGCAUGGUUGGGCCUAUGUGCACCCUCUGGUGACCACGGCUUGCUGCGAGAAGGCCUGAGGUGGCAUGGCCACGGUGAGGUGCUCCUCGGCGGCGCUUUUGGCCGGAAUGGAGGAAGAACGGACGUAGCCGGGGCUAGAAAUGAUUAGAGCUUGCAGCAAGGGGCGCAAUCGGUGGCUUGGUUCGAGGCGGAGCUGCUGGUGCACUCGAACGGCUUGGAAACGGAGCGAGGGACGCGAAUUGGAGGAGCGCAGCAAGGUCGCCGGCGUCGGGUGCAAGGGAAAGAACGAACGCGUCGUCCAGAGGGAAGGCUUUAUCGCGAAAAGGAAGGGACGUCGUGCCUCCACGUCGUCUGGCGACGCAGGCAGCCAAGCAGCUGCGUGCCUUCACGCACGCAGGCGGUGCUGCGCGGGCGGCGACCACGCUGGACAGAGCGCCGAGGUCCACCUCGGUUACUGUAGCCGGCUUUAUCCAACCAGUUUUGUGGUUUUGCAAAAUUCGUCUAAAUUUUGAACUGAAGACAAAAUUCCACCAAAAUGGAAGUUGUGAAGAAUUUUACAAGCUACAAAACUCCUUUUGGUGACCAAAGCUAAAUCUGAGUGGAAAAGUGUGAAUUUGGCAAAACAGUUUGAAUUUCAAAAUCCCAAAUUGGGGAAAUUCCAAAUUUUGAAUUGGAGCAGAUUAGAAUUUCCAAAAUUACUUUUGAUUUUCCAAACCAACUUGAAAAACUCCCAACAUGAAAGUUGUUCAACUUUUCAAGCCCUACAACUCUCAUGUUGACCAUUUUUCAAAAUUCCAAACAGAUUUUGAAUUGGAGAUUUAAGUUUGAAAAGGGGACACUUUCCGGAAAUCUGUAUUUUCAAAAUUACUUUGAAUUUUGUACUGAAACUUCAAAAACUCAAAACACCAAAGUUGUACAUCUUGACAAGAUCUACAACUUUGCUUUUGAACUCAACUUCAAAUUUUGCUUGAUUUUUGAAUUACACAAAAGGGGCAAAUCUAGGUUUUUGAAAUUAGGGUUUCCCCCCUUAAGUCUUUCGGAAAAACUUUCACCCAGGGUUUUAAUCACCAACACAAACAUCCAUACACAAUAUAAGCACACUUUAAUUUCCUAAGCACAAUCAACCAAAAUAACCUUAUUUUAAGUUGAUGCAUAAUAAUGUGCUCAACAAUUAUGCUUUGCAAUGCUUAUGAUGACAUGAUCCAGUUUUAGUAUUCGUAACAUCAGGGAUGUUACAGCCCUUCCCCCUUAAAGAAAUCUCGUCCCGAGAUUUCCAGGGUACUAAAACCCGUGGGGUUAAGUAAUGGAAAAGGAAAUGUGUCAAGCACAUUAACUUCUGAGAAGUUCAUAAAACAAUUACAAUUGGUCCGAGAAUUACAACUAAGAUCAACAGAAUGUUGUAAUCAAUAAGGAAUGUUAGAGAAUUCAUAAGAAGAUAUGAAUCUCCAAAUGAGCUUCCAAGGAGAAUGAAAGCACACUAACUGUAGACUAUAGCGGAGCAUGACCAGAGAUCCCGAUGUUUAACGAGCACCUAGUAGUAUUUCCUUAUGGCUGCAGUCCACAGGAGACUACAAGGUUCGACGCUAUAACGUGAUCACGGAUCAUGGUACCUACUAUAGAGUACGGUUAUAAUAGCUUUCAAUGACCUAUGUUGGUUAUCUAAGUCAGGGGUUUUAGGUAAUUCCAAAGAGAUAUGGGCAUGGAUUCCCAUAAUAUUGUUCAAAGAGUGAGGUCACCUAAGUUGUGGGUCUAUAAGGGAUCAUGAUCAUAGACUUUGAUAACAGCGAGCGCCCGGCAGUAUUUCCUUAUGGUCGCGAGCCAUAGGAGACCCCAGGUUUCGGCGUUGUUACCUAAGUUAUGGGUCAUGGUACCUUAAGAGGACACAAUCAUAGUGACAUUCAAUCAACAGAAAUGUUGACAAAUGACAUCAAGGAGGUAGCAUGUGUCCGAAUUAGAUGAAAUCAAGGAAGGUCACAUGCAUAACAAAUGAAUCAAGGAUUAGGAUCUUAUGGAGUAAAAGAUUAUCAAUUGGUUAGUAAAACCUGGUACAUGAUGAGAUUCAUCAAUAAAAUAGCUAUAACGAAUAAUAACUGUUUUGAAGCAUAAGGAGGGGCUUUUAAGUAUCAUUAUAUUGUCAUGUUAUGCAAGAUAUGCAAUAUGCUCGUCCCAUACGUCUUUACAACGUUAGCUAGGAGAUAAUUGCUUAUAUAGGGCAUACUUUAUACAUUAUCUUUAUUGCUCUGGACGGAAUGUUGCAAGACUUUUGACAAAGCAUUGUUGGAGUAGUUUGAUUCUUCACUCGGCUUGUUGAAGAAAAAUUGAAGUCCCUUUCAAUGCCUUCUAUUUGAGUCGACAGAAAGUCUUCGUAGAACGGGGACAGCAAGCAUAAGAAAAGUUAAGGAGCAUUUAUAAGUCGUUAUCCUCAAAAACUUUUAAUUUGUAAAUUCCUUUUGAAGUUUUUCACAAGUAAUGUUGCAGAAGAUCCAUGUAUGAGCUCUGAUACCAGCUGUGGCAGAACCACCCUAAUUAUAUGGCCCACAUGCACUUGGCAUUGUCCUUAAGACCUCUGACUACUGCACAUGAGAGUCAUAUAACUUGGAUAGUCUGUCGGGUGCCCUCGGAGGACCCCGAAUCAUCCACAUUUUAACUCGUACAGGAUCAACAUGGAGUUACCACAACAUUACAACAUUUGUUACAAAAAUGACUUACAUCAGAGUGCGGAAGAUUUAUAACUUAAUUUACAACAUAUGAUGAAAUACAAACUUAACUAAAUUUUUAAAAGGUGUAUAGAGUAGCGGAAGCAUCUUAGGUGAAGCUUCUAAGGUAGAAGAGGUGGAUAAAUCAUGUCGCGCCCACCGACAUGACCUCCAUUAGCAGACUAAGUCAGCACCUGCAACAGGGGUUAUAAAACCCUGAGUACAAAAGUACUCAACAAGACUUAACCGACUAGAAAAGAGAUGAAGACUCAGGUAUGCAGGCUAUAGGGAUUCAAGGUAAAGCUUUAUCAAGAUAAAGCAUUUCUUUUGCAUAAAAGCUUACUAAGAUUAAACCUACUUUCAAGUUUUAACUCAAGGUUAUCAUUUAUGACUAACCAAAACUAUUAUCAAACUUGCAUAAGCAUACCACAUCUUUCUUAUACCAAAGAUUCACUUGUUACUACGAUGAUGGUGUGAGGAUUGAGGCUCCAUAUCCGAGGAAACACGGCGAUUCGAAUCGAUUAAACCCAGCUGGGGAUUCAGUACCACACGACAUAUGUAGAACUUAAUCUUGCAUAUGUCAACCUUUUCUAUAGAUCCUCCCAUACAAGAACGGGUCCAGCGUCACCCGAGAGUACAGUACACCACCAUCCUACAGCCAAUCUAGAUGUUUCCCGGUCAUCUCAGAUCCGUAAGGUGGGUACACGCUACUCUCGCCAUCUUUCCACUCCCAGUACGCGGUUAGCCGUUCUCAAGUAUCGGAAUAGCUAUAGGUAAGGCUUACCGCCGCAUGUGGGCUGUACUCAAAGGUCUCAAUCACAACAGGCCAAUCAACGGUACGGUCCUUAAUCGACACAGUUGGAGACACUACUUUAAGACUCCAUUCUUAAAGCAAGUCCACCGACCGGUCUCAAAUUGAACAUCAUUAACUAUAAGAGUAUUCCACAACGACCCUUCAAACGUUCUCAUUUGAAAACUUAUCUAAUAAGCAGGGCUAAGCAUACUAAGCAUUUUCAUAAAGCAGGUAUCAAGGUUAAUAUGGAAAUCAUCAAGGUAGAUAAUGCAGCAAAUAGGAUUCACUCAACUCCUAUUCACCUAAUGCAUCAUAUUAACUCAAGUGAUAUAAAUAACUUUAUGAAAAUACAAGGAUAGGGUUUAAUGUCCGGGGCUUGCCUUGACCGGAAGGGAAGUCCGACAACUCAGCAAAACCAGAUGGAUCCACAAACUCGGAAGCAACCCACUGAGGAUCAGAUUCCUCCGGAGCGUAGUCU
rnacentral:lncRNA from 1 species